GAUGAACGCUGGCGGCGUGCCUAAUACAUGCAAGUCGAGCGAACAGACGAGGAGCUUGCUCCUCUGACGUUAGCGGCGGACGGGUGAGUAACACGUGGAUAACCUACCUAUAAGACUGGGAUAACUUCGGGAAACCGUAGCUAAUACCGGAUAACAUGUUGAACCGCAUGGUUCAACAGUGAAAGACGGUCUUGCUGUCACUUAUCGAUGGAUCCGCGCCGCAUUAGCUAGUUGGUAAGGUAACGGCUUACCAAGGCAACGAUGCGUAGCCGACCUGAGAGGGUGAUCGGCCACACUGGAACUGAGACACGGUCCAGACUCCUACGAGAGGCAGCAGUAGGGAAUCUUACGCAAUGGGCGAAAGCCUGACGGAGCAACGCCGCGUGAGUGAAGAAGGUCUUCGGAUCGUAAAAAUCUGUUAUUAGGGAAGAACAAAUGUGUAAGUAACUAUGCACGUCUUGACGGUACCUAAUCAGAAAGCCACGGCUAACUACGUG
rnacentral:rRNA from 1 species